AUUCCAUUGUGUACACCCUGAACAUGCCCGAACUCAUCUGAUCUCGGAAGCUAAGUGGGGUUGGGCUUGGUUAGUACUUGGAUGGGAGACCUCUGAAAAUUUGGACAAUAGGAAUC
rnacentral:rRNA from 1 species